GCACAACACUAAUCUCCUAUAAUCAUCACUCUGGCUUAAUGACUGUGCAGAUUUGAAGUUUCAUCUUUCAGAAUUUAUGUUGACUAUAUGUAAAUUCUAAAAUGCAUGAUCAUGUUUUUUAAUUAACGGUCUGAGCUUAAUCACCACUUUCAAUUGGAAUCUGAAUGCAUGUGUCAUCUUCUACUGUAUAGUACAGAAAUCCCUAUGGUAUUAGCGACCGCAUCUGCAAAGACUCUGGGCAUGGAUGUAGUCGACAACAAGGCUCUCUAACUAGUCAUUUGUUCAAAAGUUUUGACUUCAUGAAAAAUGUGAUCAUUAGUUCUUUUUUUUUUUUGUUAUGCAUGAAGGCUUGAUCAACAUGCUAAAUUUUUUAUUC
rnacentral:lncRNA from 1 species